ACCGGGAUAAGCUCCAGCCUGAUGGGCCACUUGGCUCGUAUGCAGACUUUACCUUACCAAAGUGGCUAUUUUUGCAGUCUGACUUGGAAUGUAACGGUUGUUUUAAUUGUGUUUGAGAGGUGUAACGAUGCCAGAUUUGGAUUUUCAAAUGAAGUAGAACAUUAUGACUAACAUGGAAAUUGUUCCUGUGUCAAACCCUGGCAAUGACCACUGUGACAGUGAUGUGGUUUUACUACAUUUUGUUUUCAAGAUACUGUCGGCUGGAUCAGAACCAAACCUCUUUCACUGGCAACUCAAUGGCGAUCCUAAAGCACAAGUGCCCUGCACUCCAAACUCAGUUUUUGCAAUUCAAGUAAACAGUAAAUCUCCAAAAAAUAAGGUUCUUGCAGUUGGUGGAAGUUCUGCAAAUAUUGAUGUUUUUACAAACUUUGGUUAUAAAGCACUUUCUUUAAAAUUUUCUCAAUAAAUGCAACUUUAGUCUUUUCUUGUCAUUCAGUGUUAAUAAUGAGUGUGAUUUGCAUCAUGGCAACUACAAUUACAUGUUAUUGUUCUCAGCUCUUAUUGUACUAGUAUAGUAUAAUUCAAGGGGCACCACAAUUUGAUUAUGGGGAACCAUAGAUUUUUAUUUAUUUUUAUUUAUUUAUUUUUAUCAAAAGGGUCCACAGGAAUUUGGUCAGAAAAAUUGGGAAAAUCAUUUUUGUGGCAAUAUGAUUGUGUUUAUCACUGUAAGAAACCGCCAGUUUUUAUUUUUUAAUGGUUAGUGGAAAUAUAAACAAUAAACAACUGCAGGGCAUUAAUUGGAUAUUUUGACUCCCUCCUCAGCAGAGGGUAGAAAUGUUGGUUAUAGAAAGCUGCUGUGCUAGGUGAGUGCAGGCACAAAGUCAAAUGGAUCAAUUGGGCGGCAAACCUCUUCCGCGCUGCCAUCACCUUGCACGUAAUCCUGUGCCUGUACUCAUGUCGUUCAUUAUUGUCCUUUUUUCUAACAAGAUAAUUAAGCCAUUUAUGAUGGAUUACUUGAAUGGUCCAUCUCUGGUCUUGCUAGUCUUCUUGACAAGUGUUAGUGAGGAGAAGUGUUAUGUGACAUGGCUAAUAAUGGCUACGCUGUUCUCUUGCCUGAUAGAGAUAAAGUGGAGAUCUUUGAAAGAUCCAACAAGAUGAAGAUCUUAGAAGAUCCUCAUAAAUGCUAAGGCAGAUCUUCAAAGAUCUUGUAAGGUUUUUCACACGGCAGGCUUUUUAUGGGGAUCAAGGGAUUCAGAAUAUAACAGAACUGGACACAAGAGGAGCUGCUGUGAAACAUUGACAACUCUGACAUGAAAGUCUUACACAAUUAUACUUUAAUACACAGCAAUGAAAAAACUUUUGUUUACACACAUUUGUUAACAACUGUACAAAAAUCCUUCUCAUAUAUUAAGUUAAUGCCUUAAAACACUAGGAUCUCUCAAUAAUAUAACUGCUUUAUGAAAUAUUUACAGCUA